CCUACGGGAGGCUGCAGUCGAGAAUCAUUCACAAUGGGGGCAACCCUGAUGGUGCGACGCCGCGUGGAGGAUAAGGUCUUCGGAUUGUAAACUCCUGUCAUGCGAGAGCAAGAUUUGAGCGGGUAACUCCGCUGGAUUUGAUAGUAUCGCAAGAGGAAGAGACGGCUAACUCUGUGCCAGCAGCCGCGGUAAUACAGAGGUGUCAAGCGUUGUUCGGAAUCACUCGGAGGAAAGGUGGAAAGGCUGGCGUGAAAUCCGGGGGCUCAACCUCCGAAUAGCAUCCGAUACUCCCAUGCUAGAGAACUGGAGGGGGAUCUGGAAUUCUCGGUGUAGCAGUGAAAUGCGUAGAUAUCGAGAGGAACACUAGUGGCGAAGGCGAGAUCCUGGACAGUAUCUGACACUGAUGCACGAAGGUCAGGGGAGCAAACGGGAUUAGAUACCCGGGUAGUC
rnacentral:rRNA from 1 species